GACGAACGCUUUCCCUUUUCUUAACACAUGCAAGUCGAACGGUAAGGCCCUUUCGGGGGUACACGAGUGGCGAACGGGUGAGUAACACGUGAGUAACCUGCCCUCAUCUCUGGGAUAACAGUCGGAAACGGUUGCUAAUACUGGAUAUGAGCUUGCAAGGCAUCUUGUGGGUUGGAAAGAUUUUUUUGGUUGGGGAUGGACUCGCGGCCUAUCAGCUUGUUGGUGAGGUAGUGGCUCACCAAGGCUUCGACGGUGGUCCGGCCUGAGAGGGCGACCGGCCACAUUGGGACUGAGAUACGGCCCAAACUCCUACGGGAGGCAGCAGUGGGGAAUAUUGCACAAUGGACGGAAGUCUGAUGCAGCAACGCCGCGUGCGGGAUGACGGCAUGCGGGUUGUAAACCGCUUUCAAUUGUGACGAAGCUUUUUGUGACGGUAGCAGUAGAAGAAGCACAGGCUAACUACGGG
rnacentral:rRNA from 1 species